UCCGAGUUGACCCCGGCAGUCUCCCAUGAGUCCCCGGCAUCACCCGCUGGCAACAUGGAACAAGGGUUGCGCUCGUUGCGGGACUUAACCCAACAUCUCACGACACGAGCUGACGACAGCCAUGCACCACCUGUGAUCCUGCCCACAAGGGGAAUCCGUGUUUCCACGGCGGUCAGGAACAUGUCAAACCCAGGUAAGGUUCUUCGCGUUGCGUCGAAUUAAACCACAUGCUCCGCUGCUUGUGCGGGUCCCCGUCAAUUUCUUUGAGUUUUAACCUUGCGGCCGUACUCCCCAGGCGGAUAACUUAAUGCGUUAGCUUCGGCACGGAGGGAGUCGACACCCCCCACACCUAGCACCCAUCGUUUACGGCGUGGACUAC
rnacentral:misc_RNA from 1 species